UACGGAGGGUGCAAGCGUUAAUCGGAAUUACUGGGCGUAAAGCGCACGCAGGUGGCUGAGUCAGUCGAUUGUGAAAGCCCUGGGCUUAACCUGGGAAUUGCAGUCGAUACUACUCAGCUAGAGUAUGGGAGAGGGUAGUGGAAUUCCCGGUGUAGCGGUGAAAUGCGUAGAUAUCGGGAGGAACAUCAGUGGCGAAGGCGACUCUUUGGCCUGUAACUGACGCUGAGGCGCGAAAGCGUGGGGAGCAAACAGG
rnacentral:rRNA from 1 species